GGUAAAGUGGCUGAUGAAAGCAGUAGAUUGUAAAUCUAUAUAUGAAUAAAAUUUCCUUUAUCA
rnacentral:tRNA from 2 species